rnacentral:rRNA from 1 species
GUCCACGCCGUAAACGAUGUCGACUUGGAGGUUGUGCCCUUGAGGCGUGGCUUCCGGAGCUAACGCGUUAAGUCGACCGCCUGGGGAGUACGGCCGCAAGGUUAAACUCAAAUGAAUUGACGGGGCCCGCACAAGCGGUGGAGCAUGUGGUUUAAUUCGAUGCAACGCGAAGAACCUUACCUACUCUUGACAUCCACGGAACUUAGCAGAGAUGCUUUGGUGCCUUCGGGAACCGUGAGACAGGUGCUGCAUGGCUGUCGU